UUCGGAUGAUUUCCUAAUUGACUGAGCGGCGGACGGGUGAGUAACGCGUGGGUAACCUGCCUCAUACAGGGGGAUAACAGUUGGAAACGACUGCUAAUACCGCAUAAGCCCACAGAGCCGCAUGGCUCAGGGGGAAAAGGAGCAAUUCGCUUCAGGAUGGAUUCGCGUCCAAUUAGCUAGAUGGUGAGGUAACGGCCCACCAUGGCAACGAUUGGUAGCCGGACUGAGAGGUUGAACGGCCACAUUGGGACUGAGACACGGCCCAAACUCC
rnacentral:rRNA from 1 species